GUCAAAGAAUGCCCUUAGCUACUUCUCUGUCUGAUGAUGUCAUAAAGGAAGGAGCUUCCUAUUAAACAUCCUCUCAUACAGACAUAAUUCUUCAGAGAAACCCAAGCAAUACCCAAGAGGAAACUGAAUUUAUCUUUGGACUCGAGACUACCAAGCCUUUGGACAUGUUCUAAACAAACUUGGAAUUUCCUCAUAUAAAGAAGUCUCCAGGCCCUUCCUUACUCUCCCCAGGAAUGUGAUUGGAAACAAAUCGGAUGCUGCCUAUAGAAAGAGUCAAGCCAUCACGACUACUAUAGCAGCUGAACAAUGUGUGAGAUAUGGAACUUGGAUUGCUGCCCUGAUAGCAACUAAAGCAAAUGAGAGAAGAAAGGAGCUCACAACCAGGAUUCUCAAAAUCAGGCUGGAAUCCAUCUAUGAUCCAGUUCCAGUCAGUCUGACAAGUCACUCUGAUCCAGGACAAUUAUCCUGUGCAAACAUGUUUUAAAGGACAAAGAAGGGAGCUUCAAGAUAUUAGACAAUCAGAAGCUAAACACUGCUACACAAUGUGCAAGAUGCUGAUGAUAUUGGCCAACAGAUUGUUUUUGAAAGCAAACUUGAUGAAGCUAUGAGGAGUCAUUAAAAAAU